ACUUUGAGAACACCAGAGCGAGGGCUCUUGUGAUAAAUCCUGAAGGUAAAUCCUUUCCAAUGCUUCAAACGCUCCGCAUAAAACUGUUGUCAAAGUCCUCGCUGGACCACUAGUGGGCUCUCUGAACAUCUAUUUUAAAGCCUGCUGGCACCAUUUACUGCCAGAUCUGUCAUUCAUUAUUAGAUAUAAUAAGUGCAUUUUCAGUUUGAAUGUUUCCCGCAGCAGCCAUUUGCACAGUCUGUUCUUGUGAUUGACUGACCAUUAUUUUAAUGCCAGUAUGAGUCAUACCAAGGUCCUUUUGUUGUAAAUGGGCUAAACUAAUGGGGCAGAAUGUGCUCACAUUUUCCUCACAUUAUACUCAAUUUAAGUUUAUUUGCAAGUGACUGGGAAAAUAGACCAAAUGUUUGAAGCAGCUGUUUGCGGAUCCUUGUAAAGCUGUUCUGACAUAAAUAAACAUCCAUUUGGGGGCAUUGUUGCCUGUUGAUACAAUAUGAGUUUCAAUAGUUGCGUAAAAUGACAAUCUAUUCAUUCGUUUGGGUCAAGCCCUCUUCUAUCUGAUGGAAAAAUAAUAAUUUAAGUGCCUCUCCUUCUCCAGAUGCUCCCGGAUGACCCUCAUGCCUACAAAAGAUCGAUGGUAGAGGUGUAUUAAAUGAUUGCUUUCUGUAAUAUGACAAC